GUUGAAUUUUCAAGAAAUUGGUGAUUAAAGGUGGUGAGCCCUCGGAUAAGGGCAAAGGUAUUGCACCCGAGGAUCAAGACUAGGAGUGUUGUAAAUUCCCGUCAAAGUUCAAGAUAAUCUGUAGGCAGUCGAUUUCAUCAAGGAUUUCUUUUGGACUUACUUCCUUGGAAAUCGUAGGUCUACAUUCUUGCACACUUUUGGUUAUCUCGGGGUCCAUAUGCCACUGUAGGAUAAUUUUGAAUACCUGGUUUACUGUAUCACUAUGUGUAUGAAUUUAUUUUGUUCUUACGCUACAAAAAUUAUUUAUGCAUAGUUCUAUAAAA
rnacentral:sRNA from 1 species